UAAGCUUGAUACUUCUUGAUUAUGGGG
rnacentral:piRNA from 1 species